CACCGCUGGGUUUGCUGGUUCCCGGGCCGUGGGGCGCUGGGGCUGCUGCGCUGGAGUGGGGCUUUAGGUCCCCGACGACAGGACCUUUGGCGCCCUUCUCGUCUCCCACCGUGGCCACAAAUAGUUUAUCUCCUCAGAUUUUAUUUUUAAGUCAUCUCUACAUCCAACAUGAGGCUCAAACUCACAACCCCAAGAUCAAGAGUCGCCUGCUCCACCGACUGAGCCCACCAGAGAGAGAACACAAGCAGGGGGAGCAGCAGAGGGAGAGGAAGAAGCACACUCCAUGCUGAGCAGGGAGCCUGAUGUGGGGCUCGAUCCCAGGACCCCGGGAUCAUGACCUGAGCUGAAGGCAGACACUUAACCGACGGAGCCACCCAGGUGCCCCAAAUCAGGAUCCAAGAGUGCCAUUCUCAGGACUGCAGGCAUUUUAUUGAAAAGUCUCUGGACAACUGCAGUCACAUCGGCUUGUGCUCCUGACUAGUUGUUGAACCUCAAGCAAAUCUCACAUGCUUUCCUCUUCAGCUACAUAGAAGUAACAGUGUACCUCCCUCUUAAAAUGGUUUGGAGGCUCAAACGAACGGUUUAUUGAAAGCUCCUGGGAAACGAUCAAAUCUUAAUAGAAAUGGAGACAAUCGAUAACUAUUACAUUUUUUAUGAAGAGAAAUGUGUCGUUUAAAAAAAAACCAUGUGAAUAAUUUUGAGGACUGGAUAUGGGAACAAGUCUUUCAGUGUGUUCUGAAGCCUGGAUGCUGCAUUAAGAUUUGCUCUUGCUGUGUUGCUCUGAAUGACAAAGACUCAGCUCCAACCGCCUAUGGACCCAGCGGCUGCUGAAUUAACUGCAGAUCAGCUCAAGAACCACUGUGCCAUGCCACACUGGAAGGAGCCGCCCUUUAAAUGUUUCGACCCUUGAAUUUGCUAAGUGGAGAUAUUUCCUGAUUAAUUUGAGCUGCAGAUGGGUUGUGGAGACUAAGAGCUAGAUGACCAUAAUUAGGAAAGAAGUAUGGCUGGGGUGCACAUGGAGGAAAGAAAAAAAUGGAACAUUAAAAAUGGGCAGCUGCAUAAACGAACCAGGGAUUCGAAUUAUUUUAAUUUUUCUUGACUAUCAGUCAAGGUUUGAUCAGGGAACAGAAAUCACAACAGUGAUUUGAACAAAAAGAAUUUAAUAUAAAGAAUUGCUGGGGCGCUAGGGUGGC